UGCGUAGGCGGUUAGGCAAGUUGGUAGCGUAAUUCCGGGGCUCAACUCCGGAACUACUACCAAAACUGUUUAGCUUGAGUGUGGCAGGGGUACGUGGAAUUCCUAGUGUAGCGGUGGAAUGCGUAGAUAUUAGGAGGAACACCGGAGGCGAAAGCGACGUACUGGGCCAUAACUGACGCUGAGGCACGAAAGCGUGGGGAGCAAACAG
rnacentral:rRNA from 1 species